AAGGCUAUGACGGGUAUUGGGCGUGAGAGCGUGGCCCGACACAUCGGGACUGAGACACGGCCCGGACACCUACGGGUGGCUGCAGCAACGAAUAUUCCGCAAUGGACGAAAGUCUGACGGAGCGACGCCGCGUGCAGGAAGAAGUCCCUCGGGAUGUAAACCGCUGUCAGGGGUGAGGAAUAAAAUGACCAGCCCCACAGGAAGCACUGGCUAACUCCGUGCCAGCAGCCGCGGUAAUACGGAGAGUGCAAGCGUUGUUCGGAAUUAUUGGGCUUAAAGCGCGUGUAGGCGGGAUGCCAGGUAUCGUGUGAAAGCCCCGGUCUCAAACCGGGAAUUGCACGGUAAACCUGCAUUCUUGAGGCAGGCAGAGGUGACUGGAACGACUGGUGGAGCGGUGAAAUGCGUAGAUAUCAGUUGGAACGCCGGCGGCGAAAGCGAGCCACUGGGCCUGUCCUGACGCUGAGACGCGAAAGCGUGGGUAGCGAACAGGAUUAGAUACCCUGGUAGUCCACGCCGUAAACGAUGCGCACUAGGUAUGAGAGGUUCUGACGCCGAUCGUGCCGAAGCAAAAGUGUUAAGUGCGCCGCCUGGGGAGUACGGCCGCAAGGCUAAAACUCAAAGGAAUUGACGGGGGCUCACACAAGCGGUGGAGCAUGUGGAUUAAUUCGAAGCAACGCGAAGAACCUUACCUGGGUUUGACAUGUACGGAUGCCCUUCUGGAAACAGGAGUAAGUUGCCUUCGGGUGAAACGUACACAGGUGCUGCAUGGCUGUCGUCAGCUCGUGCUGUGAAGUGUCGGGUUAAGUCCCUCAACGAGCGAAACCCCUAUCGUUAGUUGCCAGCGGGUUAAGCCGGGGACUCUAACGAGACCGCCGGCGUCAAGCCGGAGGAAGGUGGGGACGACGUC
rnacentral:rRNA from 1 species